GACGAACGCUGGCGGCGUGCCUAAUACAUGCAAGUUGAGCGCUGAAGGUUGGUCCUUGUACCAACUGGAUGAGCAGCGAACGGGUGAGUAACGCGUGGGGAAUCUGCCUUUGAGCGGGGGACAACAUUUGGAAACGAAUGCUAAUACCGCAUAAAAACUUUAAACACAAGUUUUAAGUUUGAAAGAUGCAAUUGCAUCACUCAAAGAUGAUCCCGCGUUGUAUUAGCUAGUUGGUGAGGUAAAGGCUCACCAAGGCGAUGAUACAUAGCCGACCUGAGAGGGUGGUCGGCCACACUGGGACUGAGACACGGGCCAAACUCCUACGGGGGGCAGCAGUAGGGAAUCUUCGGCAAUGGACGAAAGUCUGACCGAGCAACGCCGCGUGAGUGAAGAAGGUUUUCGGAUCGUAAAACUCUGUUGGUAGAGAAGAACGUUGGUGAGAGUGGAAAGCUCAUCAAGUGACGGUAACUACCCAGAAAGGGACGGCUAACUACGUG
rnacentral:rRNA from 1 species